rnacentral:rRNA from 1 species
UGAACGCUAGCGGCAGGCCUAACACAUGCAAGUCGAGGGGUAACAGAGAGAAGCUUGCUUCUUUGCUGACGACCGGCGCACGGGUGCGUAACGCGUAUACAAUCUACCUUUUGCUGAGGGAUAGCCCAGAGAAAUUUGGAUUAAUACCUCAUAGUAUAUAUGAAUCACAUGGUUUAUAUAUUAAAGGUUACGGCAGAAGAUGAGUAUGCGUUCUAUUAGCUAGAUGGUGUGGUAACGGCACACCAUGGCAACGAUAGAUAGGGGCCCUGAGAGGGGGAUCCCCCACACUGGUACUGAGACACGGACCAGACUCCUACGGGAGGCAGCAGUGAGGAAUAUUGGACAAUGGGCGAGAGCCUGAUCCAGCCAUGCCGCGUGCAGGAAGACUGCCCUAUGGGUUGUAAACUGCUUUUAUACAGGAAGAAACACUCCCUCGUGAGGGAGCUUGACGGUACUGUAAGAAUAAGGAUCGGCUAACUCC